CGCGCUGUUCUAUUUACAUGCAGCCAACUAAGCCAACCAAAGUGGUGCUGCCAUGAGGGAUGGGGAGCCGGUCAAGGCAGUUUGUUAUUGUCGAAAAGCUGUACCUUAACAGAGGUUGAUAAGAGAAUCUCGAGCCGAAGGGGAAAACGCGCGAGAGCAUCCCAGUUGCAGCUCACGGGUAUCGGCCGUGAGGUCCCUCAACGACCUUUCAUGACCAAACAGGGGGUGGGGGCGAAAGAGAGUGAACGCGCGCGGCUCUUCACCAGGUUGUUGACCACAAACAAUGGAUGCAGGCACUGAUGGGAAAUCAGAUCGUCGGAAGAAGGGCAGUAUUGGAAAAAAAUACUUCCAAGGAUGAAUAAGGCUACCCCUCUGGAAGUUUAUUUCAAAGGACUUAAUCAAAAAAAGAGAGCUUCUGACAUUGCCUAUUUUGUGUGUAUUCUCAUAUACAAUUCUAUCCUCUCAUCCUGCAUGUGAUGGAUUCUGUAGAUUGGGGAAGCUUUGGGAGCUUUUUUAUAUAUCUUUGGUUAUUGUUGCUUGCAACUGCCGCCUAGUGGUGCCAGUUACACAUCACAAUAACCAAGGACAUCAUCAUCAUCAUAUAAAAACAGUCUCCCAGUGUCUGCAGUUUAUAGAACUUGUGAAAUGAAAGAAUCCCUGAAAGGAGGGAGUGUCUGACACUGUUGGAUAACAACUAAAGUUGAUACUAGCCACUGUUGACAAGUUACUUGGUCAAGCAAAGGACCUAGUUUCAGUUUCAUCAAAAGGAGAAUCCCUACAGAGGAUGCAUUUAUGUAGGCCAAGAGUGCACAACUCAAUAUCAUUCUGAAGUCAGUUUUACAUUUUUUUCUAACUCGAGACUGCAACACUGUGUUACCUGUAAAAAAUAUGGCACUUGACAUUGUGCACCCCAAUGCCCAUGUUAGAUGUCAUUUGGGCAGGCACACAAUUAAUAAAGACAUAGGUUAGCUACCACCAGUGGAGUUUGUGUCUUAGAAAGGCAUUCUGUUUCUUAAUAUCUAGCAAUAAAAAUGGUGGCCAGGUGUACCUGGAAACCCUUCCUCUUAAUCCCCUAUUGUGGGUGCACCAUGUUAUCAAUCAGUGGUGAGGGAAAUACACUCUGCACUUGCUAAGGGACAUUUUUAUCUAUUCUUACUACAUAUGUUCCUAAUGAAAACAUGUGCCUCAGCAGAGCUCUGGCACAAAUUAAACCAUCUCAUUACUAAUUACAGACACUCAUUACCAAUUUAGGCUCCCAUAAAACACAUGCAGAGUUAUUUCAAUAUAGGGCAGCAGGCACAUGCCCAUUUCCAAGCCCAAUGCCCCCUUGCUAGCAGUUAGGCUACAGCUUUAUAGAAUCCCUCAGAGCAGAUAACAACCAACUCUGUUGGAUUUCACAGACCAGACAGGGCUUUUUAAGGGGAGCACUGAGAGCAGUUGCCCUGGGCCUACAUGUGGAGGGACUCACAUAUGAAGAGGCCACAUCAACACUGGCAUUGCUGCUUUGUUGCUACCUUCCAGAAGCAAGAGACCAUGAAAACGUGUCAUCUCCAGUCAUCGCUGCUUUCACCAGUUGAACUGGGUCCCAUUCCCCCCUCAGAGGCCAUCAGCUCCACCUGCCUUUUGAGAAGGAGCAGCAAGACCAUCUGCUCUGGGGGUAAAGGUAUCAGUGUCACCCCUGUGCACCUGCCUACCAUUAUGGGAGUGAAAAGAAGACAGCAGAUUACAGGCUACGUCUCCAAAAGCAAAUGUCUUGCCCUGAAAAUUAAAAAACUUCUGGCUGCAUUAUAUUCACCUUGAAGGCUGGGCCACCACCAGGGUAUUUCUCUGGGACUGCCAAAAUCUGUUUUUUAAACUGCGAGCUGCCCAUUUUCCUUCCAAACUGGUCAUUAUAAAAAGUUUGAAAAAUUAAAGAUUUGGUGCCUGAA